CUUCCCAUGGCCGUGAAGUAGAUGGGUUUGAAAGUCUUCCAUUUAACAGCCUUUGCAAAAAGCGUGGCAGCGCCACAGAAACUUCUUCUAAGAAAAGUCUUACACAGGAAUUUCAAAGAGAGCCUUCACCCGUGUAACCUACCUAACCCAGCAGUGAAGCUCUGGUGGGGAGGCCCCAGGUGAUGUCCCAGCUGCUGGGCAAGGGCCUUGGCAAUGAUGUGUGACAGCUCAUACUGGUGACUUCUAGGCAUGGUUUUGUCCAGGACCACCAACUGUCCCCUAGAAAGAAUCAGGGGAUGAGGAUGGGCCAGGGACCGUGCCCAGCUUGGAUUGUUGCACCUACUCUGAGGGUAAGAGAGAUUGGCUGGAGCACUCCUCCUUCAACUGUUCCCUGAUCCAUUUCAUUUCCCAGCAGAUAUAUAGCCACUUGAUGUGUACUUGGGAUGUGUGCCUGUCUGCUUGCAUGGAAGUGGCAUACUUCAAGACUAGCUGGUGAAGAAAGAAGAUAAGGCACAAUAUGAAAUGUGGAUGAGUCUUUUGUGACCCUGAGCCAAGCCCUGCCUUAAGUCUGGGGAUAUUUUUUUUAUGAAGGCACGUGAUCCUCUGCCUAUGCAGUGUCAGCACAAAGCAGAGAUAGGCCCCAACACGUGACUCUUUAGUGACUGGUUUGAAUGGAAUUGUGUGAUUUUUUUGAACAGAUUUAUUGUGCAAGCAAAAAUGUAUUUGCUAAAGAUUACAGCAGCCUGUUUGCUCUGAAUGCUGAGCCUGGGGAAUAAAGACUGCCCUGUGUGACUGUUCAUUACCCGGUGAAAUGAGGUUUGUGGUGUCAAAUACCUGUUCUAGCUUUGUUAUCCUCAUCUCACACAAUCUGCAGCAGGGACUAGCCAGUGGACGCAGAGCAGGGAUGGGCUGCAGAGAUUUCAGCUCCUUUGUCCCUCAUGGAAGUGGACUAUAGGUCUAUAGGCCACUAUAUGGUCUAUACGUGGACGUGAGAUCUGUGCCUGGUGCAAACACACAACCUAUGUGCACACAGCUCCCUGACAUUUCCAAAAUACUUUUCUGAGCUUAGACAGUCACUGAGUUGCUCCAUGACUCACCUGAGCCCCUCUAGACUGUCCUCAAGCACCUUUCUGUCACCUUCUUCUCAGGGAAGAAGAGACCCAGGAGUGCUCACUGACAUCUGGCUCCUGAUUAUAGUCAAGAGAAGAAGCAGGACACAGCCUUUGACCUCUGAUUAUGCAUUUCUGCUUCAAAUAGACAAUAUUUUAAGUCAGAUGAGUUGUGCAUUGCAUAAUUUCAUAGCUGGAAGAUUCUUGCAGCACUCUACCCUGCUGAGGCCUCACCUGGAGUACUGUGUCCAAUUCUGAGCUCCUCAAUUCAAGAAAGACAGGGAACUUUUAGGCAGUCCCACGAAGGGCUACAAAGAUGUUGAGGGGCCUGGAGCAUCUCAGUUAUGAGGAAAGGCUCUUUUCAGUGGUGCCCAGCAACAGAACAAGUGGCAGUGGAGACAAACUGCAACACAGGAAGGUCUACAUGAACAUGAGGAAGAACUUCUUGACUUUGAGGGUAACAAAUUGCUGGAACAGGCUGCCCAGAGAGGCUGUGUUGUCCCCUUCUC
ensembl:lncRNA